UACAGAGGUCUCAAGCGUUGUUCGGAUUCAUUGGGCGUAAAGGGUGCGUAGGUGGCGUCGUAAGUCGGGUGUGAAAUUUCGGAGCUUAACUCCGAAACUGCAUUCGAUACUGCGGUGCUUGAGGACUGGAGAGGAGACUGGAAUUUACGGUGUAGCGGUGAAAUGCGUAGAUAUCGUAAGGAAGACCAGUGGCGAAGGCGGGUCUCUGGACAGUUCCUGACGCUGAGGCGCGAAAGCGUGGGGAGCAAACAGG
rnacentral:rRNA from 1 species